rnacentral:misc_RNA from 1 species
AACGCACAUUGCGCCCGCCAGUAUUCUAGGAGGCAUGCCUGUUCGAGCGUCAUUUCAACCCUCAGGCCCAGCCUGGUGUUAGGGCUCUGCGUCGCAGUCCCCGAAAUACAGCGGCGGUCCUUCUAAAAAGCCCUGCGUAGUACUGCUCCUCGCUUGGUAUUUUAGGCGGCCCAGCCUUUUAUAAAUCCUUACAAGUUGACCUCGGAUCAGGUAGGAAUACCCGCUGAACUUAA